GAUGAACGCUGGCGGCGUGCCUAAUACAUGCAAGUCGAGCGAACGGACGAGAAGCUUGCUUCUCUGAUGUUAGCGGCGGACGGGUGAGUAACACGUGGAUAACCUACCUAUAAGACUGGGAUAACUUCGGGAAACCGUAGCUAAUACCGGAUAAUAUUUUGAACCGCAUGGUUCAAAAGUGAAAGACGGUCUUGCUGUCACUUAUAAAUGGAUCCGCGCUGCAUUAGCUAGUUGGUAAGGUAACGGCUUACCAAGGCAACGAUGCAUAGCCGACCUGAGAGGGUGAUCGGCCACACUGGAACUGAGACACGGUCCAGACUCCUACGGGAGGCAGCAGUAGGGAAUCUUCCGCAAUGGGCGAAAGCCUGACGGGGCAACGCCGCGUGAGUGAUGAAGGUCUUCGGAUCGUAAAACUCUGUUAUUAGGGAAGAACAUAUGUGUAAGUAACUGUGCACAUCUUGACGGUACCUAAUCAGAAAGCCACGGCUAACUACGUG
rnacentral:rRNA from 1 species